rnacentral:rRNA from 1 species
GUGCCAGCCGCCGCGGUAAUACCGGCAGCCCAAGUGAUGACCGAUCUUAUUAGGCCUAAAGCGUCCGUAGCUGGCCUCGCAAGUCCGUCGGGAAAUCCAGUAGCCCAACUACUGGGCGUCCGGCGGAAACUACAAGGCUUGGGACCGGAAGGCUCGAGGGGUACGUCCGGGGUAGGAGUGAAAUCCCAUAAUCCCGCACGGACCACCGAUGGCGAAAGCACUUCGAGAAAACGGAUCCGACAGUGAGGGACGAAAGCCAGGGUCUCCAACCGGAUUAGAAACCCCUGUAGUCC